GCCGGGAAUGGAAAGCCCGGUGCAAGCGGGGUACCAGUCACUUUGGCAAAUCCGGGUGGCAAUGGGAAGCCGUGAUGCGGAGCGAAAUAAAGUAGUGAAGUCCGUGAGCCAUGCGUCAAGAAAAGCCGCUAUUGUUUAUACCGUACCCGUACCGUAAACCGACACAGGUGGAUGAGGAGAGAAUCCUAAGGCCGGCGGAAGAAGCAUUGUCAAGGAACUCGGCAAAAUGGCCCCGUAACUCAGUGAUAAGGGGUGCCUGGGAAACCAGGCCGCAGAGAAUAGGCUCAAGCAACUGUUUAGCAAAAACACAGGUCUAUGCGAAACCGAAAGGUGAGGUAUAUGGGCUGACGCCUGCCCGGUGCUGGAAGGUUAAGAGGAGAGGUUAGCGGUAACGCGAAGCUUUGAAUUUAAGCCCCAGUAAACGGCGGCCGUAACUAUGACGGUCCUAAGGUAGCGAAAUUCCUUGUCGGGUAAGUUCCGACCCGCACGAAAGGCGUAAUGAUUUGAGCGCUGUCUCGACAAUGCAUCCGGUGAAAUUGAAGUACCAGUGAAGAUGCUGGUUACCUGCGCCAGGACGGAAAGACCCCAUGGAGCUUUACUCCAGUCUGGUACUGGGACUCGGUAUUGCAUGUACAGGAUAGGUGGGAGGCUAGGAGAUGGUAACGCCAGUUGCCAUGGAGCCGCUGUUGGGAUACCACCCUUGCAGUAUUGGGUUUCUAACCAGCCGCCGUGACCCGGCGGUGGGACAAUGCCAGACGGGGAGUUUGACUGGGGCGGUCGCCUCCGAAAGGGUAUCGGAGGCGCCCAAAGGUUCCCUCAGAAUGGACGGAAACCAUUCGAAGAGUGCAAAGGCAGAAGGGAGCUUGACUGCGACACCGACGGGUGGAGCAGGUACGAAAGUAGGGCUUAGUGAUCCGGUGGUAUUAAGUGGGAAUGCCAUCGCUCAACGGAUAAAAGCUACCCUGGGAUAACAGGCUUAUCACUCCCAAGAGUUCACAUCGACGGAGUGGUUUGGCACCUUGAUGUCGGCUCAUCGCAUCCUGGGGCUGUAGUAGGUCCCAAGGGUUGAGCUGUUCGCCCAUUAAAGCGGUACGCGAGCUGGGUUCAGAACGUCGUGAGACAGUUCGGUCCCUAUCCGGCGUGGGCGUAGGAUAUCUGAGAGGAGCUGUCCUUAGUACGAGAGGACCGGGAUGGACGGGCCGCUGGUGCAUCGGUUAGACUGCCAAGUCUGCGGCCGAGUAGCCAAGCCCGGAAGGGAUAAACGCUGAAGGCAUCUAAGCGUGAAGCCCCCCUUAAGAUGAGAUAUCCCAUUCGAAAGAAGUAAACCCCCUUGAAGACGACGAGGUAGAUAGGGCAGAGGUGGAAGUGCAGCAAUGCAUGGAGCUGACUGUUACUAAUCGGGUGAGGGCUUGACC
rnacentral:rRNA from 1 species